rnacentral:rRNA from 1 species
AAGUGUGGACGCCAGUCUGCAUGGAGCCGACCUUGAAAUACCACCCUUUAAUGUUUGAUGUUCUAACGUGGGCCCCUUACCGGGGUUGCGGACAGUGUCUGGUGGGUAGUUUGACUGGGGCGGUCUCCUCCUAAAGAGUAACGGAGGAGCACGAAGGUUGGCUAAUCCUGGUCGGACAUCAGGAGGUUAGUGCAAUGGCAUAAGCCAGCUUGACUGCGAGCGUGACGGCGCGAGCAGGUGCGAAAGCAGGUCAUAGUGAUCCGGUGGUUCUGAAUGGAAGGGCCAUCGCUCAACGGAUAAAAGGUACUCCGGGGAUAACAGGCUGAUACCGCCCAAGAGUUCAUAUCGACGGCGGUGUUUGGCACCUCGAUGUCGGCUCAUCACAUCCUGGGGCUGAAGUAGGUCCCAAGGGUAUGGCUGUUCGCCAUUUAAAGUGGUACGCGAGCUGGGUUUAGAACGUCGUGAGACAGUUCGGUCCCUAUCUGCCGUGGGCGCUGGAGAACUGAGGGGGGCUGCUCCUAGUACGAGAGGACCGGAGUGGACGCAUCACUGGUGUUCGGGUUGUCAUGCCAAUGGCACUGCCCGGUAGCUAAAUGCGGAAGAGAUAAGUGCUGAAAGCAUCUAAGCACGAAACUUGCCCCGAGAUGAGUUCUCCCUGACUCCUUGAGAGUCCUGAAGGAACGUUGAAGACGACGACGUUGAUAGGCCGGGUGUGUAAGCGCAGCGAUGCGUUGAGCUAACCGGUACUAAUGAACCGUGAGGCUUAACCUU